AUAUGGAUAGCUCAGUUGGCUAGCGCAUGGCACUGAUAAUGCCAAGGUUGCAGGUUCGAACCCUGUAGGAUAUCUGCAUAUU